AGAGAGAUCGAGAGAUCAAAAACUGCACGCUCUAAAAACUGAAACCCAAAACACACAAUCAUCCAUUCUUUCCAUUUGUUAACACAAACGGCCAAAAGAAAAGAUUUUCCCUGUCGAUAAAAAACAAAAAACAGAAGCCAAUUGACAUAUUUCCAUGGUUUGCAAUCAAGAAUGAAAAGAAGUCUCUCACUUUCCUGUCAGAUUUCUUCAUCUAACUGUCCGUUAAUUUCUUUCAUCGUUUAACAUUUUCAUAUGCACGCCCUCAAGUUCAACCAGGAACUAGAUUCUCUCGACAUUAUUAGACUUUUCACUUUUGUGAGGUGCAAACUGGAAUUUUGUGUAUGGACAUGAUGCUAUAGAUUUCUGUUGGGUAUCAGUAUAGCCAAUUCAUAUUUCAUGGG